AUGUUUACUUUCAUGGCACAUAUAUUAAAACUGGAACGAUACAGAAAAAGAUUAGCAUGGCCCUUGAUCAAGGAUAACAGGCAAAUUUGUGAAGCAUUUUGUAUUCUG
ensembl:snRNA U6 U6 spliceosomal RNA